CACCUCUCCACUCAAUCCCUUCCCCGGUAGGAACUUCCCCGGUAGGAAGUAGAGUAGGAACCCUCCCGCCGCUACUAGGGAUAUGCAAGCCACCGUCGGGGUCCUCGCGGACACACGAGAUGCCUGCCGUCACCACGCACACGAGCCACGGUGGGGGAGAGAGGGAGAAGUGACCAGCCAUGGCAAGGCGUCGGUCAUCCGGCGAGCGUGGAGAAAUUGGGACAGGGGGCGCCCGAUGUGGCGUCUGGUGGCGGGGCUAAGAAGGGGGCGGCAGAUCUGGCCGGAGCUGUGCACGUGGUGCGGCGAUUGUGGUCCCCGCGUGCUGCUCGUGGUAGGGACAAAGCGGCGGUCGCUGGCCUUAUCCGCUGCCCCUUUGAGGACUGCGUCGUGCAUGCCCCACCGAGUUCUACCAGGUCGCCGGCGGCACGCGCUCCCCUCACCCUGCCUGAUGCAAUCGGUGACUACCCUACCCCGUCGCCGGCAGACUAGACGGCCUGGGCGCGGGCGGUAGGCACCGCCAGCAGCCCAGCACUCCAAUCUCCGCCGACACCGUGGUCUAAAUGACGCCGCAGACGAGUCCCCUUAGAACGACCCAUCCUGGACGAUAUAAUAUGGUUCAAGCAUAAUCAUGGUGAUAUGAUUAUAUGGAGUAGAAGGGAGGAAGUUGUGUCUCAUCAGCAUUGUGUUCUGCAUCUAUAUAAAGCACAUCCAAGAAUCACUGUCCAAGGUCUCUCUUUCGAUUGAUAGCAUCGGUAGCAGGAUAUAACAUCAGGUUACAGCCUUUGUGGUACAGGAAGGACCGAAGGAGGAAGUUGGUGAGAUACAGAGGGAAGUUGAAUUGGGACGAGGGAUAGAGAUACAACCAGCAAAUGCGCCGAGGAACAGUAAGCUAACUCAGUAAGUAUUCUUCAGGUGCUAUUUUCUUCACCAGUUAACUCCUUCAAGUAUGCGUUCUUGUCAUCAGUACACACAGCCUCCUAUUGCAGCAAGGUUCAACAGUUUUGUGAGGCAUAUCUUACAUAUCUGCAUAUCAGUUGGUUUGAGAUGCUCACGCUUUCACUAAAUGUACCAUCCUUUCACUGAAGUAGUUCAAGCCUAUCAAAUUUCCUUCAUUCACAACCUACAGUUAGUUGUACCUAUUGUCUGCGGUGAUCUAACUAGCUGUCAAUGUCCUUUUCAAUUUAUAAUGGCACAUUAAAUCACAUGAAUUGAAAAUGCAUGCUUACUAGCAGUCAAUGGAAGAUCUAUGAAAAGCUUGCUUUCACAGGGGCGUUUGCGCAUUGGACGAAAAAGAAGCACAUCCACAUUGUUCAUACAUGGCAGAGGAGUUGGGGGUUUAUACAAGGAGAAAGUCACAAUUCUGCUGCAAACAGAUGUAUAUAUAGCGGCAGGACCGGAGAGAUGGGAAUGCAUCACCUCGGUAGUGCUAUAGGCCCAUAGGGUUGGCGGCGAUAGUUGGUGUCGGUAUUAUUGACACCCUUGCCAUUGCGGUGCUGGGAGUUCGGUAUUAUUGACACCCUUGCCAUUGCGGUGCUGGGAGUACUGCCAUGAAAGGUGCUGCUUCAAUCGUCGCGGACGAGGGCUCAUGAUUAUGAGCAUAGUAUCACAUGAUUGGGAUGGUAGAGACGUGCGUUGCACGUGCACGCUUACUAGUAA